AUUGAACGCUGGCGGCAGGCCUAACACAUGCAAGUCGAACGAGUGGCGGACGGGUGAGUAAUGUCUGGGAAACCGCCUGAUGGAGGGGGAGAACUACUGGAAACGGUAGCUAAUACCGCAUACCAUCAGAUGUGCCCAGCUGGUAUUAGGUUGUUGGUGGGGUAACGGCUCACCAAGGAGAAAAUCCCUAGCUGGUCUCAGAGGAUGACCAGCGACACUGGAACUCAGACACGGCCCAGAUUCCUACGUGAGGCAGCCUAGGUGAAUAUUGCACAAGGGGCGCAAGCCUUAUGCAGCCAUGCCUCGUGUAUGAAUAAGGCCUUCGGGUUGGAAAGUACUUUCAGCGGGGAGGCGUUACCCGCAGAAGAAGCCCCGGCUAACUCCGUGCCAGCAGCCGCGGUAAUAC
rnacentral:rRNA from 1 species